rnacentral:rRNA from 1 species
GGAAGGUCCGGGCGUUAUCCGGAUUUACUGGGUGUAAAGGGAGCGUAGACGGCGUAUCAAGUCUGAUGUGAAAGGCAUGGGCUCAACCCGUGGACUGCAUUGGAAACUGGUAUGCUUGAGUGCCGGAGGGGUAAGCGGAAUUCCUAGUGUAGCGGUGAAAUGCGUAGAUAUUAGGAGGAACACCAGUGGCGAAGGCGGCUUACUGGACGGUAACUGACGUUGAGGCUCGAAAGCGUGGGGAGC